GAUGAACGCUGGCGGCGUGCCUAAUACAUGCAAGUCGAGCGAACAGACGAGGAGCUUGCUCCUCUGACGUUAGCGGCUGACGUGUGAGUAACACGUGGAUAACCUACCUAUAAGACUGGGAUAACUUCGGGAAACCGGAGCUAAUACCGGAUAAUAUAUUGAACCGCAUGGUUCAAUAGUGAAAGACGGUUUUGCUGUCACUUAUAGAUGUAUCCGCGCCGCAUUAGCUAGUUGGUAAGGUAACGGCUUACCAAGGCAACGAUGCGUAGCCGACCUGAGAGGGUGAUCGGCCACCCUGGAACUGAGACACGGUCCAGACUCCUACGGGAGGCAGCAGUAGGGAAUCUUCCGCAAUGGGCGAAAGCCUGACGGAGCAACGCCGCGUGAGUGAUGAAGGUCUUCGGAUCGUAAAACUCUGUUAUUAGGGAAGAACAAAUGUGUAAGUAACUAUGCACGUCUUGACGGUACCUAAUCAGAAAGCCACGGCUAACUACGUG
rnacentral:rRNA from 1 species